ACUACAUCAGUGUUAUGUUAUUGUAUGACUUCAUCUUUUAUACAGUCGGGUUCGGGGUUUCGGGCAGCCAUAGCGAAUUUCGGCAAGAUUUUACCCCAGUGAAAAAGGCUUGUAAUCCACAGUGAUCAGCUAAGAUGUUGUUUCACUGGAUUAUUUAAUUGGGCAUAUAAUUGGCUAAUUCUGGAUCAGCUGAGAUGUUAUUUCACUGGAUUAUUUAAUGGAUAGACUUAUUGGGGCAUAUAUUUCGAUAUCUCUGUCCUAAACCUGGAAGAUAUGUAUUGUUCCUAACCAUCUAUAAUCCAUUCUCUAUGAAGUUCAGACUGUCUGCUCUUCCUUUGGAAAUACACAGUUAUAGUCAACCAACAUAGAAACACACAAACUUGAAGGAUUCUCUAGUGAGGGCUUAUGGAAAUGAUCUAUAUCUACUCUUAGAAUGGUGAAAGACUAUCAGAUCAUGCAAAGACUAACAGAAUAUCCUCUCUUGGAACACUGAAACAAGAAAAUCAAACAGGAGGUGGAUUUAAGAAGAACAGAGAUAAAUAUAAUUUCCAACUAAUUUAACCAGUACGAUCAUAGACUGUGGUUUACAGGAUGACAAAGAAAGGACCCAGGAUUGUAUCUUUUACUGUCAGACACUGACUAUGAAUAAAGUGUAAUCAUUUAUCAAACUGAGAUCUAGUCAAAUCAAGUAUUGAGAACAUGAUUUUCUGAAAGCAUGAAUUUAUUCUCACCAACUUCAAAGUAUCUAUAGCUGACUUUUAUUUUUACCAACUCAUAUUGAAGACAGUUGUUAUGUAUGAGAAGUAUGUAUACAUUUAAACCUUUUAUUUUUUCAUCUUAUUUCUAUAACCCCAUAGAAAUUACAUAGAUAUUCAGAUGCUAGAUUUGAUGUAAUUAUUACUUUCCUGGAAAUGUAAAUAUAUUUUAUUUGUGUAUAUGUGUGUAUUGUGGCCUAUAAUGAAAUUUAGAAAUUGAAAUAUGAUAAAGGUCCCUUAAUAUCCCACAUCAAGAUGUAGGUGCCCAAUAAUCUGUGAUGCAAUAAUAUCUUGAAUAUCAUUUAUCAUCUCAUACACUUCAUAUGCUUACUACACAUAUCAGGUUAUAGUAAUACACAUAGUUUUAUAGGAUAAUUUGUCAUGUUCAAAGCAUGAGAUUAUUGAGAUGACUACAUUUGAAAAUAAUUUGUAACAUACAAACUUCACAUCAUUAGUAAAAAAUGAAUAGGAGAUUUUCUAUAGAUUUUUGGAUCAUUUACUCCUGAGUAAAAGUUAGUUCCUGAGAUUACUGAUAUGAAUCAUUUAAUGCAAUAACUUCAAAAUUGUGUGAUAAUUUAUAGACUUUAUAAAAAUUAGGUGUAAAUUCUUAGGAAAGAAUUAAAAUAUUAAUCAAAUGUACAAUGUCCA